UUACAUGUUCCCGUACGAUCACCAAAGUUAAGCAACGUCGAGCCUGAUGAGUACCUAGAUGAGUGACCGCUUGGGGAUACAGGGUGUUAUA